UUGAAACACCAGUUCCUGUAUGAUCAAUGAAGUUAAGCAACAUUGAGGCUGGUCAGUACCUAGAUGGAUGACUAGUUGGGAAUAUCAGGUGCUGCAAGC